rnacentral:rRNA from 1 species
UACGAAGGUGGCAAGCGUUGUUCGGAUUUACUGGGCGUACAGGGUGCGUAGGCGGUUCGGUAAGCCCUCCGGGAAAUCUCCAGGCUCAACCUGGAAAGUUCGGAGGGGACUGCCGAGCUAGAGGACGGGAGAGGAGCGCGGAAUUCCCGGUGUAGCGGUGAAAUGCGUAGAGAUCGGGAGGAAGGCCGGUGGCGAAGGCGGCGCUCUGGAACGUUCCUGACGCUGAGGCACGAAAGCGUGGGGAG